AACGAACGCUGGCGGCAUGCCUAACACAUGCAAGUCGAACGAGACCUUCGGUUCUAGUGGCUCACGGGUGCGUAACGCGUGGGAACCUGCCCUUAGGUUCGGAAUAACUCCCCGAAAGGGGUGCUAAUACCGGAUAAUGUCUUCGGACCAAAGAUUUAUCGCCUUUGGAUGGGCCCGCGUUGGAUUAGCUAGUUGGUAGGGUAAAAGCCUACCAAGGCGACGAUCCAUAGCUGGUCUGAGAGGAUGAUCAGCCACACUGGGACUGAGACACGGCCCAGACUCCUACGGGAGGCAGCAGUGGGGAAUAUUGGACAAUGGGCGAAAGCCUGAUCCAGCAAUGCCGCGUGAGUGAUGAAGGCCUUAGGGUUGGAAAGCUCUUUUACCCGGGAUGAUAAUGACAGUACCGGGAGAAUAAGCUCCGGCUAACUCCGUG
rnacentral:rRNA from 1 species